rnacentral:rRNA from 1 species
GUUAGGAAUAUUGGACAAUGGGCGCAAGCCUGAUCCAGCCAUGCCGCGUGAACGAUGAAGGCCUUCGGGUUGUAAAGUUCUUUAGCCGAUGAUUAUAAUGACUGUAGUCGGAAAAUAAGCCCCGGCUAACUUCGUGCCAGCAGCCGCGGUAAUACGAAGGGGGCGAGCGUUAUUCGGAAUCACUGGGCGUAAAGCGUGCGUAGGCGGUCUUGUAAGUUAGGAGUGAAAGCCCAGGGCUCAACCUUGGAAUUGCUCUUAAAACUGCAAGGCUAGAAUCUCGGAGAGGAUAGCGGAAUUUCCAGUGUAGCAGUGAAAUGCGUAGAUAUUGGAAGGAACACCAGUGGCGUAAGCGGCUAUCUGGACGAGUAUUGACGCUGAGGCACGAAAGCGUGGGGAUCAAACAGGAUUAGAUACCCGUGUAGUCC